rnacentral:lncRNA from 1 species
CUCAACCAUGGAGCCACAUCCUCAGUCUUAUUUUGUAUUUUAUUUAGAUACAGCAUCUUACUGAGUUGCUUAGUGCCUCGCUUUUGCUGAGGCUGCUUUGAGCUUGUGAUCCUCCUGCCUCAGCCUCCCGCGCUACUGGGAUUACAGGCGUGUAUCACCACACCCAGCCUCACAGGCAAUCUUGAUUUCUUUCUAUUUUCAUAUUUGGAUUCUCUAUGUUUCACUUCCUGCUUUUGGGGGACGGCCAUUCUAAUAUUUUAUACUUUACUUUUUACUCUCCAUUUAUUAUGUUACUCUUGGUUAAACAUGAAUAUUCCAUAGGCUUUAGAAAACUGGUAAGAAGUGAUUCAGCCUCCUCAUACCACAGUUCAUUUCAUUUACAGUUUGGCCUAAGAGGUCCUGGUUUCAUAGCUGUUUUACCUGAAGGCACCAGAGCACCUGCUCUCAGGAGAAUGCCCACACCCUCCUGAUUGACUGUCAGAAGAAGCUGGGGCUCAGAUCUGCAGUACCUCAGUGCUCUCUUCCCUAGGAGAGAGUUGGCAGUGGCCAACAGAACCCAGCAGCUGUGCCAUUCCACCUGGACUGAAUGUGCCUAUGCCACAGGCCAUGGCAGGAUUUGAUGUAUUUACACAUUAAAGUGACUAUGUAUAGUGCUUAGAGGCAAUCCUCUUAUGAGGUCCUUUGUUAGAAUUCAUGAACAAUAAGAUUAGAAUCUAUAUUUUGAAAGAGUGUUUUUAAAAAAUACACUAGAAUAACAGCCAGUGUCUUAUUUUUAAUUGUUUUGGUAAAAAACUUAAGACUUUUUCCCUUUUACUGUUCUAAAUUUCCCAAGUUUAAUUUUAAUUAGGUAGUCUGUUUCUCUUUUUUUUUUUCAGUCUUAACUAUAGUAAUUGAAUAACCAGAGAGACAUCCAAGGUUUUAAAAACACCUAAUCAAAUCAGAUUUUCAGUUUCACAUCUUUUUAACCCUUGUAUAUGUGUAUAGAAUCAAUUCUUAUGCAUUGCCAUGUUAUGACAGAACUUUAUAGCCUUCAUUUUCUUUUAAAUAUCAUUUUAUGAGAAUUGAGCCUUUUUUGUUACCAUUUGUUUUAUUGUUCAUCUAGAGGUUAUCCAUGUUAAAUGCCUGGUGUGUGUCCUCUACAUUUCUCUGUGUUCCCACAGUCACAUAUAAAUAGGUGAACAGUUCAUGUUUUUUUUUCCUAAUGAAAUUAGCCCCUACAGCUUGCUUUUACUAAUAGUACAACAGAUUGUGAGCUCUUGUUCUUUUAAUAAAUGCGUAAUACUAAGUUGCUCUUAAAGUUUCUUUUUAGUUUUAAAUUCUAUUUCUGUAAUUUGAGCUAAACAAAUUAACUGAAACAAGAGGUUAUGGAACCAGUGUCAUCCUGGGUAUAGACAUAUUCAUUCUGCUCAGCAAAAAAAUCAAAAACAAAACAAAAAACCCUAAUAGGUUCAAUAAUGCAGGAUACACUGUUCCACUCUUCAUAUAUAUAUAUAUAUCGUUCAGCUGCCAGCAAGGAAUCUAGGUAGGGGCCAUUGUAGGUGAUACGUGAUUUUUUUAUGCUUCUUAAAUUAUCUGUAUUCCACAUGUUUUGAUAUGUCUGCCAUUCAGGUAAAGAUAUCUAACUUGCCCCGAGAUCCAGCUGAAGUAAUGUCUCUGUUAAGGACUUUUCAAGAGCCUUUCUGAAUAGUUGAAUUAGCUGAAUUUGUAGUAAGGAUAUCUGUGGUUUGAUCCCUUUGCCACCACCUGGCCGUGUGACUUUGGCAGUCACUUUACUUCCCUUGCUCUGGUCAGUUCUCCCAACAGAAUAGAGAGACUGGACUAAAAAAGUGCUCCAGGAGCCAUUCUUCUUAGCUUAGUUGUUCUUUGAUUUUUUUAUGUUUUCGCUUUGUCUGAGCUCACAUAAAGGUCUAGGGAGAGGAAGAUGAAACCUUAUCAUAAGGAAAUUCCAUAUUUUGCUUAUACUUGAGUCUCAGAACAUUUGAGCUAAGUUAAGUACACAUGAAUAAAAAUAGUUUGUUACCCUGAUUUUCAUUUGAGGUUUGCUAGGGUUUGUGAACCAUUGAUGGUAAGUUUGGAGUGGGGACCCAAGAGGUGGGAGAGUAG